GACGAACGCUGGCGGCGUGCUUAACACAUGCAAGUCGAACGGAAAGGCCCUGCUUUUGUGGGGUGCUCGAGUGGCGAACGGGUGAGUAACACGUGAGUAACCUGCCCUUGACUUUGGGAUAACUUCAGGAAACUGGGGCUACUACCGGAUAGGAGCUCCUGCUGCAUGGUGGGGGUUGGAAAGUUUCGGCGGUUGGGGAUGGACUCGCGGCUUAUCAGCUUGUGGGUGGGGUAGUGGCUUACCACGGCUUUGACGGGUAGCCGGCCUGAGAGGGUGACCGGCCACAUUGGGACUGAGCUACGGCCCAGACUCCUACGGGAGGCAGCCGUGGGGAAUAUUGCACAAUGGGCGGAAGCCUGAUGCAGCAACGCCGCGUGCGGGAUGACGGCCUUCGGGUUGUAAACCGCUUUCGCCUGUGACGAAGCGUGAGUGACGGUAAUGGGUAAAGAAGCACCGGCUAACUACGUG
rnacentral:rRNA from 1 species